rnacentral:rRNA from 1 species
CAUAUUAAUAAGCGGAGGAAAAGAAACUAACAAGGAUUCCCUUAGUAAUGGCGAAUGAAAAGGGAAAGGCUCAAAUUUAAAAUCACUCACGUGAAUUGUAGUUUAUAAGAUAAAAGUCUCACAGCAACCACUGUCCAAGUGCUCUGGAAUGAACCAUCAUAGAGGGUGAAAUUCCCGUACUAAACAGAGAGGAAGCUGCAAAGAACUUUAAUCUAACGAGUCGUGUUGCUUGAUAAUGCAGCAUUAAUAGGGAGGUAAAUUCCUUCUAAAGCUAAAUACAAGAGAGAGACCGAUAGCAAACAAGUACCGUGAGGGAAAGAUGAAAGAGAACCCUGAAAAGGGGACUCAAAAGAAUGUGAAAUUGUCAAAAGGUAAGCGCUAAGAACUGUCCGUAGUUUGGAUUUUAAGAUUGAUGGGGUUUACUCCGUUGAAAUUAAGGUUCAGAUGGCUAUAGCUUUUGUCUCGACCUUUAAGAGCAUUGGGAUAAGGAUUGUAGGCUUCGGUUUACCUUUCUUUGAACUUUGCUUUUAAGAGUUGGGGCAGGAUGAAAAGUCUCAUGCUGUGGUAAACAUGUGGAACUUUAUUCAAUAGACUUGUCUAGAGAGUAUUAGGAAGUAUGUUUGCUACAUCAAGAGCACUUAUAGUUAGGAGGUUCUAAGCGUC